ensembl:lncRNA LINC01206 long intergenic non-protein coding RNA 1206
AGUUGUAACCGAUAGACUGGGCUGGGGCAACGCUGAUGAAAGGCAAAUUCCUGAGAGAAAAAUCACCCAGAUUUUUCAGUGCCUUCUCUAGCUUUCUAGAAGUUGUUAUGAGUGGACCUGACUACCUAGAGAGAGUAAUACAGAAGCUCCGUGCCGAUCACAGCUACCUCAUUACCAUGUUCCUCCAAGAUGGCCGCCCCUGAGGAGAAUCAUCAACUGGGCUUUACGGAAGAGAGAAAUCCAAACGACCAUCAGCAACAAAUGAAAGACUGAAGUUGAAAGGAAAUCCAUAAUUUUUGAAUGCUGGCCGAGGUCUGUGACCUCUGACUGAAUGGUUUCCAAGCUCCGAAUUCCUAGGUGAUGUUUUCAUUUGUUCACACUUGCUGAAGAAGGGAAAGGCUCUCUGAUUUACGUGUAAGCAAAACAAUCUAAACAGUAGGAUAAAAUCAUGUUGGAAUGGAGUUCUGUGUGGAUGCUCCUUUGAACCAAAUCAGUUCCACAACUGACCCUGUCAGGGACAUAUAAAUUUAGCAUUUUGGUGUGGAUACAGAAGACGAGAUUAACACAGAUCAAGUAACAUGGAAAUAAAAAAGGAGACAAUGCUGGAUGAUACAGGGGCAGCCAACAAGAGGAGAAAACCCAAGCAUUGGCAAAUGCCUCAUUAUCCAAAGAACACUCCUUAUACUCCUGAGAAUUUGUGGCAGUCCUGGGUUAAACGAUGAAGGCUUCUUAUUCUCAUGUAGGUCUCACAGCCUCUUGUCUCCCUGAGUUUUAAACACAUUGCAUUACCUUUCCAGAGCUUCCUGUGUCCCUGUCCUUUGGAAAAUGCUGCCUCCUGGUCUGCUUGUGUGGAGAAAGAAUGAGGAAGACAAGGAAAUUAAGGAAGGACCCCUCAUUAUGAGGUGUGGAGCAAAACUGUGUUGAAUGAACUGUAGAUGGAAAUUCUCUCCUUCCCACCGAGGAGCCGCUGCAGGUUGCAGACUCCCAGAAUGCCACACUGAGAAGAGGAGGGCUAAAAUUCUAGAGCAGAAUCCCUGGGGCAGCCCCUGCUGAAGAAGGGUGCAUCUGUUGAGAAUCUCAUCACCGCCCCCACCCCGCCCAGCCUUCAAUUUAGAGGAAUUUCUAGUUCACGCAGAAUGAAGACAAGAUCACAUAAGUGAGGACGACGCCCCAUUUACAAGUGUGAUUUGGAAGACUGAAGUGGAAACCUUGGGAAGGGGCCUCAGAGUAUGUCAGCUGGGGUCAGACGGGAACAGGAGUCUGGCUCAACACACAUUUAUUGCACUCCUGUUUCAUGCCAAGAAAUGUACCAAAAUCUGGGACUGUGUAACACAGCAAAGGAAAAGACUCAUCUCCAGGAAGCCCCCUUGUCUAGGAAGAGAAAUUGAAUAUCAGCAUAAGGUGGUGAAAAGCUGUGAAGGAGAUGAGUGCCAGGAGUCCAUGGAGGAAGGAUUCUAGCCUGGACAGGUGAGGAAUGGCUUUCUGGAAGAAGCAGAUGCCCCAGCUGAACUUUAAAAUGCCCAUGUGAAAUGAACUGUCUGUAUCUUCAAUCAGCAAAUGGAGUAGGUGGCCACUGUUUAAUUCUGGAAUGGGGAAGUGUAAAGGUGUGGUGUGUGUGUUUACCCCUACUUAGGGAUUCAAAACAGACAGUAAAGAACAAAAGUCUAGCCCUUUGAGCAUUCUCCAUGGGACAUUUGAGGUCUAGCUGGCCCCAGAGAAAGAGAGACAGAAGCAAGGUCAUAUCCAUUUGAGAAAAUCAAAGUGUCUGCUCCAA